rnacentral:tRNA from 1 species
GCCCGGGUGUCGGAACUGGCAGACGACGGCGCCUUAAAAGCGCUUGUCCCGCGAGGGACGUGUGGGUUCGAAUCCCACCCCGGGCACGA